CUUCUGUCUUGCAAGGACACACACAGAAGGUUCCAUCUAUGAGGAAUGGACCCUUUCCAGACACUGAAUCUGCUGAUGUCUUAAUCUUGGACUUCUCAGGCUUCAGAACUGGAAAGAGCCACGACAAAGUAGAGGAUGAAAAUGUCCAAGAGAAGGGGAUAAUUGAUGAAGGACAAAAGAAUUCCACGGGAAACGGCAACUACAGAUGGAAGAGUGAAGAUCUGAUUAAGGAAGGGCUGAAAUUGUGUCUGGUUUUGCUCAUCAUCUUAUAGCAUAUAGCAGGAGUUCAAUAAACAAUUGUUAAAAAAAAAUAAAAAAAUUUAAAAAAGGAAGCAAGUCUUCUUGGAAGAAUGGCUGACUCGAAGGCUGGGGCAGA